CGUGACUUGCUCCUCCUCGCCUUUUGCCGUGAUUAUGAAGCCUCCCCAGCCAUGUGGAACUGGUCUUGAUGUUUUGCCCAGGCUGGGCUUGAACUCAUCCUCCUGCCUCUCAAGUAGCUGGGACUACAGCAUCAAGGCUUCAUGAUGCUGUCGAUCUCACUACUGCUGAAGGCAGAACUACAGCAUGCUGAAUGCCUCGUCUAAGCUCAAAGACAUUUUAGUGCAGUUUUCACAAGUCUUUCUGUUAUAUAGACUUGAGACAUUAUUUGGGGAAAUUGGGGAUUCGAAACUGGUGUGAAGGAGCUAUCGUGUAACAUUUUAUUCACCUCUCUAAAAGUCAGUAAUAAUAGUUUUCAAUUUGGGAAUUAAAAAUGAGGGAAAAUGAGUUUUGUUUUGUUUUUUUUCUAAGCCUUGGUGCCAUUACUUAUUACUACUUUUAUCUUUCCCUCCUCAUGCUCAAGAGAGCAUUUCUAUAUGCAUGGUCUAUUAUUGGGAGACAGAAAAUGUACAGGCUGUGAAUUCCAGGCUACACAGCUCCAGAUCUGGGGCCAGAAGUUCUCUUUCUGGAACCAGACAAUCUAGAUGGAGCCUUAUUCUCUACAGUGGACAUCAGAAAUGACCUGGACAGCUUGUGAAAACACAGGCUGCUGGCCCCACCUCCAGAGUUCCUGAUCCCGUAGGUCUUGGGUGGAGCCAAACCUUUUGCAUUUCUAACAAGUUUCCAGAUGAUGCUGAUGCUAGAGACCACACUGUGAGAACCACUGCUUUGAAGCAAUGUACCCAAAAGUAGGGGAGGCACUGGACCAGGAAGCCCUUCUCAGACGGAGGCUCAAAUUCAGAUACAGGUUGUUAUGUAAUAUUACAGCCCAAAGGCCUGGCUGGUUAGGUGUAUGGCUGACUUCUAUAUUCUUCAUGCUUUUAAUAAUAUCCCACUUAUUUUAAAGUCAGCACGUGUUUUAAAAUAUUAAGGACAAGACUAAAACCUCAGGGCCUUACAGAUUUGGGAUUCAAUACGUUUUUACUUUGAUUUUCAACCUUUAAAAUUCUAGCAAAGGUUUUAGUACAUGAUACCAAUGUUAUAGGUAUGUUAUUUUGAGGUCGGUAGACUUUUAGGAAUGUAUGACUAACCAAACUGUUUCUAAGAUAGUAAGAGUCAAAAAUUCAUUUAUCAUUAGCCAACAUUAUCAUUAGCCAACAUCUUAGUAAUCUAUACAGUCUUCCACGUAUAGAUUACUAAGGCGGAAUCGUACAGUUUUGAAAAGGAGGAACAGGGUGGUUAUGGGGAUUCUCCAAGUCAAUUUUUUUCUUUGGAAUCUCUCAAUGAAAUGGGUCAUCUCAGGUUUAUGGAAACCCAGAGCACAGGACAUAUGAUAGUAGAAACACUUGCUGAUUGCCAUUAUGAAGUACAUUUGUGCUUAUUUAGAUAAAUGGAUAAAUGUGUUUUUACCCAUAUUGUAUGCAUAUGAAUAUAUAAAUUAUAUGCACAUAUAGCGUUGAUAUAUGUGGAUCACCUGAGUAACUUGGACAUCACAACCAAGAUGAUCUUUCUGUAUAAGCAAAACAAUUUAAAGAAAAUAACCAUUGUGAACUAAUGCGUGGUACAGGGGAGGAAUUUUGGGGUGCUCAUAAAGGUCUGUUUUUAACAUGGAUGAUACUUACACAGAUCUUGAUAAACGUUUGUUAUAAUAAAUAUAUAGCUUCUGUGCUAGUUUCUAUGUGUAUUUUAUUCACAAUAAAAUGCUUUAUAUAUGAAUAAAGUUAAAACUACAGUAUUUUCUUUACAUAUUUCUAACAUUUAUAAGAGUUAUACAUAGUCAAAGUUGGUAUCUAUAUGUGCAUGUGUGAAUAUAAAAUUUUGAAAAGUAUGCACUAAAAAUACAAGAAAAAGUGUUCUCUUUAUAAUCUCUAUUUUUAUAAAUAACUGGCCUUUUAUGGGAAAAUUUAGUGAAGCUAUUUUAAGUUUUCUAACAAAGUUUACCUUGGCUUAAGUUUCAAUUUUUGUCUAUUUCAAAAGACAAAUGCAGAUUCAUAAUCGGGAGUGAUGGGAAAUUGUUUACAUGUACCUCUAAUAUCACUAGCAUUUAAUUUUAACCUAACAAAAUUCUAACACGAAGUCUUGAACUUUUGUGUUCAGAAUAAAUGUGAUUUCUAGUUGUGAUCUACUUUGUUUUGUUUCUAAAGAUUUUGUUUGAACAUAUAUUAACUAUAAUGAAAUAAAAGCCAAGAAUAGCUUGAAGAGGGGGAAAAAAGAGAACUUAGGAUCAAGGUUUCAAAAUAUUAUGAAAAGGAAAUAAUCAAAUGCAAUACUUUGCUUUUAUGUUGACCUUCUCAUUCUGGUUCCUCACCCUCCAUACUCUGUGAAAGGUUCUAAAGCCUGUGGCCAUUGGUGACCUGCCAGGCAGGAGGUUACAAUUCCCAGGCAGAUGCAGCCGUCCUGUGUACCAUUGAUGGGAUUCAGUAAAAAAGGACAAGGCCUAGAUAGCCUCCAGAACAAUUUUAUUGUAUAUAAUUGUUUUCAGGAGGAAAGAUUAAUUUGAAAUCUCUGUAUCUUGAAUUCCAAAGUGACUUCACAUGGUAGAAAGAACAUGAACUUUGGAAUCAGAUAGCCAGGCAUGGAAGGGAGAUUGUCGUCGUUAUAAUUAAUCCAAGCUAAUUAGCUGUAACAUCUGCAAGAAUAUUUCUUCAGUCUGUGGAGUGGGUAACAUCAUAGGAUUUUGAGGAUGACAUGGGACAACAUAUGAGAAAAUGGGAGGCAAGUUAUUGAUACUCAGUAAAUGUUAAUUCCUGUCUCUUCCUGCCUGAGCUAGUCUUCAAAGCAUAACACCAGUAGCCUUCACAGCCAGCAGCUUUGUAGGUGAAGCAAGCUAUUGGUACAGGUCCACAUUGCCUAGUGCCGUGGCUGGAAGGAGUCAAUUUAAUGUGAGGCAAACCAUGUUUGUCGACACAGGUCCUGCCUUCUAGACAUUCUCUAUAUAAAGAGACAAUGUGGCUGGGUGCUGUGGCUCAUGCCUAUAAUCCCAGCAUUUUGGGAGGCUGAGACAGACAGAUCACCUAAGUCAGAAGUUUGAGAUCAGCCUGGCAACAUGACAAAACCCCAUCUCUACUAAAAAUACAAAAAUCAGCUGUAGUUCCAGCUAUUUUGGGAAGCUGAGGCAGGAGGAUUGCUUGAAUCCAGGAGACGGAGGUUGCAGUGAACAGAGAUCAUGCUGUUGCCCUCCAGCCUGGGCAACAGAGUGAGACUC